rnacentral:rRNA from 1 species
GAUGAACGCUGGCGGCGUGCCUAAUACAUGCCAGUCGAGCGAACAUACGAGGAGCUUGCUCCUCUGACGUUAGCGGCGGACGGGUGAGUAACACGUGGAUAACCUACCUAUAAGACUGGGAUAACUUCGGGAAACCGGAGCUAAUACCGGAUAAUAUAUUGAACCGCAUGGUUCAAUAGUGAAAGACGGUUUUGCUGUCACUUAUAGAUGGAUCCGCGCCGCAUUAGCUAGUUGGUAAGGUAACGGCUUACCAAGGCAACGAUGCGUAGCCGACCUGAGAGGGUGAUCGGCCACACUGGAACUGAGACACGGUCCAGACUCCUACGGGAGGCAGCAGUAGGGAAUCUUCCGCAAUGGGCGAAAGCUUGACGGAGCAACGCCGCGUGAGUGAUGAAGGUCUUCGGAUCGUAAAACUCUGUUAUUAGGGAAGAACAAAUGUGUAAGUAACUAUGCACGUCUUGACGGUACCUAAUCAGAAAGCCACGGCUAACUACGUG